rnacentral:rRNA from 1 species
AAUGCAUAGACAACCUACCUUAGAGUGGGGGAUAGCGGCUGGAAACGGCCGGUAAUACCGCAUAACACCAUCUCUUCGCAUGGGGAGAUGGUCAAAGGGGGCGCCUUCGGGGCUCUCGCUUUUUGAGGGGUCUAUGUUGUAUCAGCUUGUUGGUGGGGUAACGGCCCACCAAGGCGAAGACGCAUAGCCGGGCUGAGAGGUUGGCCGGCCACACUGGGACUGAGACACUGCCCAG